CUCGUUGAUGCUGAUGAUUUCUGAACUUCUCCAGGUUCAGCGGUAUGUGCUCACCUACAGGUUCAGCCAGGAUCACUUGGAGCUCCUAUUUAACUCAAUCAGAGCAUCAGGCGGAUAUAAUAAUAAUUCCACGCCACGCCAGUUCCAGGACAUCUUCCAUAGUCUGAUGGUUCGGUGCGGUGUCUCACCUAGCGAGACAGGCAAUGUGGCAGCCCAAGAUAACACUGUGUCCCUGUCUGCUGUGGAGAUGUCCUCUGCUGAAACUGCUGGGAGAUAACUGUGUCUGGCCACAGUUAUCUCCCAACUCGGUUUGGUGGACUGGUGGAAAAUGCUCUGGACGACAUAGCAGGAUUUGUAGUCAGGCAGAUUCUACGAAAGCUGUCCUGUGUUGUGUGCCAUUGGAGCUUGGUCAGAGAUGCUGUGCCAUCUUCAUUUGGCAAGAACUUCCACCUUCUGACCCCUGAAAAACAACGGCGGCCUAGUGAUUCCAUCACUAGGUACAGUGAAGUUGCUGAGAGCUGCAGAGAGGUUGAUCCGCCAAGCUUCAACAAUGCAAGCUGUAGCUUCUAAGGUGUCGACAGUCCGACACAUCGUCCGAGGGGAGAUUGGAACAGAGGAUGUAUUUCUGCUUGGGGAACACAUUGAGGAGACACAGUUUGGCAUCGACAACCACCAUUUGGACUUGCUAUCAAUUGUUGUGCCUGUGCUUUAUAAGAUAAGGCUGCACCACAUUGCCAAACUCACCUCUCUUGAACUUCAGAAAGGAAGCACGAGAAAGAAGCUAUGCAAAACAGUCCUCUUUCAGGGGUUUAAUCCCACAGAUAUUGGUAUUCUUUACAUUCACAUUGCCAUGCAUACACUAUAUUGGUCAGUCUGCAUUAACCCUGACUGCUUUUUAUUGUAUUUUGAAUUGCACUCCUAAUUCAUGAUAAUCAGGCCUAAUGCGAUCGAUUUAUUUUCCAUGAUAAUUAUUUUGUAUUUUAUUCUCUUAUUUUUUAAACACUGUUAAUGGUCAGUCUGCUUUUACCCUGGCUGAUUUUUAUUGUAUUUAGAAUUUCACUCGUUCUGGUCUGUUCAUUUUCCUGUAUCAAUUCCCACCUGCAAACUCCAGUCCAUUCCAUCCAUCCAUCCACAAAUAAACAUUUCAUCAGCAGAUUUGUAUUAUGAUGCAUUCUCAUUUUUCGUGGAGCAGAUUAGUAAGAAAAUCGUUCACUUUGGUAUGCAAGCAUGAAAUUUAGCACAGAUACUCUCUAAGGGCCACUAUUUUGGAAAAAGGCGUUGGCCACUCAAAAAUUCAAUAUGGCGGCCAAUUUUCAAGAUGGCCGCCAUUGCUAUUCAAUGCUUAUUAUAUAAAUUAUUCAAACAGUGAUCCAAGCAUAAUAUUUGAUACAAAUACUAUCUAAAGGACAGGUUAAUGGAAAAAGAUGCUUGUCCCAGUAAAAUUUAAGAUGGCCGCCAUUUUUAAGAUGGCCACCGUUCCUGUCGAAUAUUAAUUAUUUAAAUUGUUCAAAUGGUGAUACAAGCAUACAAUUAGGCAGAAAUACUCUUCAAGGAAUACUCUUUUGGAAAAAGGUAUGUGCCACUCAAAAUUUUCAGGAUGGCAACCAUUUUCAAGAUGGCCACCAUUUCUGUCAAAUAGUCAUAAUGUCUGCUUGGUCUGCCUCCUCUCCUUUGACCUGUCCGGCCUAGUUAAACUUGCCAGGGAUAUAAAAUCCCUGCCGGCAUAGCUCUCAGGUUCAUUGGAGUACACAAGCCUCUCCACCACGGCAAGGUGCAGUCCACAGAGAGGAAGGGCCACUGGGAAGUGGCCAGUAAAAAUUCAGGAUGGAAACCAUUUUUCAAGAUGACUGCCAUUCCUGUCCUAUGUUCAUUGCCACAAUAGUGAUACAGAAUAUAUGCCUCUGUUAAGGCCACUUUUUGAAAAAAUUGAAUGGCCAAUAAAAAAUUCAAGAUGGAGACCUUUUCCAAGAUGGCCGUCAUUUUGGUAGUAUGUACACUGAUGCACACAUGCAUGUUAGCAAAUAAUCUAACGGCCACACUUUUAGAAAAGGGCAAUCGCAAAAAUUCAAGAUUCAUUUUUCAAGGCGGGUGUUGCUUUAAUAAUGUACUCUGUUGGGACUGAGUUAAAAGGAAGAAAAAAACAACUUCUAUUCACAUUUUGACCAGCCUUCUGGUUAGACUGUCGAACCUGAGAUUGAGAGGUUGUGCCCUGUCGAGUCAUAAUAACGACUGUUAAAAAUGGUAGCCAAUGCCUCCCCUACUUAUUUUUUUAUUCACAUUUGCAAUUGCACAGUUCUGUGCAAGUGAACCCCAAUCUAAAACAUUUGCAUCUUCCACGGCACUCUGAUUUGCAGCCACACUUGGCUAGUUCACAACUUUGUGCAACUGGUGCAUUUGCUGUCCAAAAUACCCCCCAUUGUUCACCAAGCUUUUUCCAUCCCCAGUCAGCAGGACUCUCUGCUUCUGGCUGACACUGGGUUACUUGACCCCAUAUGCAGCCU